rnacentral:rRNA from 1 species
UGGUAAUGCCGGAUGCUCCGGUUGGAUGCAUGUCCUUCCGGGAAAGGUUCCAUCGGUAUGGGAUGGGGUCGCGUCCUAUCAGCUUGAUGGCGGGGUAACGGCCCACCAUGGCUUCGACGGGUAGCCGGCCUGAGAGGGCGACCGGCCACAUUGGGACUGAGAUACGGCCCAGACUCCUACGGGAGGCAGCAGUGGGGAAUAUUGCACAAUGGGCGCAAGCCUGAUGCAGCGACGCCGCGUGCGGGAUGGAGGCCUUCGGGUUGUAAACCGCUUUUGAUCGGGAGCAAGCCCUUCGGGGUGAGUGUACCUUUCGAAUAAGCACCGGCUAACUACGUGCCAGCAGCCGCGGUAAUACGUAGGGUGCAAGCGUUAUCCGGAAUUAUUGGGCGUAAAGGGCUCGUAGGCGGUUCGUCGCGUCCGGUGUGAAAGCCCAUCGCUUAACGGUGGGUCUGCGCCGGGUACGGGCGGGCUGGAGUGCGGUAGGGGAGACUGGAAUUCCCGGUGUAACGGUGGAAUGUGUAGAUAUCGGAA